AGAGUUUGAUCCUGGCUCAGGACGAACGCUGGCGGCGUGCUUCAUACAUGCAAGUCGAACGAGAAUCUGGCUUCGGUCAGAGGAAAGUGGCGGACGGGUGAGUAAAAUGUAGGAAAUCUGCCCUUAAGAGGGGGACAACAGAGGGAAACUUCUGCUAAUACCCCAUAUGCGCGUAGCUGAGAUGCUAUUCGUGAAAACUCCGGUGCUUAAGGAUGAGCCUGCAUCUGAUUAGCUAGUUGGGGGUGUAAUGGACCACCAAGGCGACGAUCAGUAGCUGGUUUGAGAGGAUGAUCAGCCACAAUGGGACUGAGACACGGCCCAUACUCCUACGGGAGGCAGCAGUAGGGAAUUUUGCGCAAUGGGCGAAAGCCUGACGCAGCAACGCCGCGUGAUUGAAGAAGCCCUUCGGGGUGUAAAGAUCUGUCAGUGGGGACGAAACUUGACGGUACCCACAGAGGAAGCAUCGGCUAACUCCGUGCCAGCAGCCGCGGUAAUACGGGGGAUGCAAGCGUUGUCCGGAAUCAUUGGGCGUAAAGAGUUCGUAGGUGGUUUAUUAAGUCUGGUGUUAAAUGCAGAGGCUCAACUUCUGUUCGGCACUGGAUACUGGUAGACUUGAAUGCGGUAGAGGUAAAGGGAAUUCCUGGUGUAGCGGUGAAAUGCGUAGAUAUCAGGAGGAACAUCGGUGGCGAAAGCGCUUUACUGGGCCGUAAUUGACACUGAGGCACGAAAGUGUGGGGAGCAAACAGGAUUAGAUACCCUGGUAGUCCACACCGUAAACGAUGAAUACUAGGUGUAGGCAAGAAAUUGUCUGUGCCGCAGUUAACACAAUAAGUAUUCCACCUGGGGAGUACGGCCGCAAGGUUGAAACUCAAAGGAAUUGACGGGAGCCCGCACAAGCAGUGGAGUAUGUGGAUUAAUUCGAAGCAACGCGAAGAACCUUACCAGGACUUGACAUCCCAAGAAGUCGGUGUAAUGACUGAUGUGCCCUUCGGGGAACUUGGAGACAGGUGGUGCAUGGUUGUCGUCAGCUCGUGUCGUGAGAUGUUGGGUUAAGUCCCGCAACGAGCGCAACCCUCGUUCUAUGUUGCCAGCGGGUUAUGCCGGGGACUCAUAGGAGACUGCCGGGGUCAACUCGGAGGAAGGUGGGGACGACGUCAAAUCAUCAUGCCCCUUAUGUCUUGGGCUUCACGCAUGCUACAAUGGCCGGUACAAAGGGUUGCGAUACUGUGAGGUGGAGCUAAUCCCAAAAAGCCGGUCUCAGUUCGGAUUGAGGUCUGCAACUCGACCUCAUGAAGUUGGAGUCGCUAGUAAUCGCAGAUCAGCAACGCUGCGGUGAAUACGUUCCCGGGCCUUGUACACACCGCCCGUCA
rnacentral:rRNA from 1 species